rnacentral:rRNA from 1 species
UACGUAGGGGGCGAGCGUUGUCCGGAUUUAUUGGGCGUAAAGCGCUCGCAGGCGGUCCGAUGCGUCGUGCGUGAAAGCCCCCGGCUCAACUGGGGAGGGUCGUGCGAUACGGUCGGACUUGAGGCCAGUAGGGGGAUGCGGAAUUCCGGGUGUAGUGGUGGAAUGCGUAGAGAUCCGGAGGAACACCAGCGGCGAAGGCGACUUCCUGGCCUGUUCUUGACGCUGAGGCGCGAAAGCUAGGGGAGCAAACGGG